rnacentral:rRNA from 1 species
GCCAAUGCAUGCUUUUACAGUAUGGAAAUUGGUGAUUUAUAAUAACUUAGCAAAUCGCAAAGUGAAAACAGGCGAUAAAUCAUUCAAGUUUCUGACCUAUCAGCUUUCGACGGUAUGGUAUUGGCUUACCGUGGCAGUGACGGUUAACGGGGGAUUAGGGUUCGAUUCCGGAGAGGGAGCCUGAGAAACGGCUACCACAUCUAAGGAAGGCAGCAGGCGCGCAAAUUACCCAAUUCUAACAGUUUAAGAGAGGUAGUAACAAGAAAUAACAAUACAAGGCAAUUAAAAUGCUUUGUAAUUGGAAUGAUAGAAAUUUAAACCCUUUUUAAAGUAUCAAUUGGAGGGCAAGUCUGGUGCCAGCAGCCGCGGUAAUUCCAGCUCCAAUAGCGUAUAUUAAAAUUGUUGCAGUUAAAAAGCUCGUAGUUGAAGUUCUGCUAAAAGUAACCGGUCUGCUUUUAAUAAAAGUGGUAUCUUGGUGUGUAUUUAGCAAUGAUGUCCUUUGAAGUGUUUUUUACUUUAUUGUAAUAAAGCAUAUUCAGGACUUUUACUUUGAGAAAAUUAGAGUGUUUCUAGCAGGCCAACGCUUUGAAUACUGCA